rnacentral:rRNA from 1 species
CACGUAGGGGGCGAGCGUUGUCCGGAUUUAUUGGGCGUAAAGAGCUCGUAGGCGGCUCAGUAAGUCAGGUGUGAAAACUCCAGGCUCAACCUGGAGACGCCACCUGAUACUGCUGUGGCUAGAGUCCGGUAGGGGAGCAUGGAAUUCCUGGUGUAGCGGUGAAAUGCGCAGAUAUCAGGAAGAACACCCGUGGCGAAGGCGGCUCUCUGGGACGGUACUGACGCUGAGACGCGAAAAGCGUGGGGAGCGAACAGG